AGAUACAAGCAGGUCCCUGAGUGGUGGUUCAUCUGCAUCCUUGUCGUUAACAUUGCCGUCACUGUAUUUGCUUGUGAAUACUACAUAGAGCAGCUCCAGCUGCCCUGGUGGGGUGUGUUGCUUGCAUGCUCCAUUGCCUUUUUCUUCACGCUCCCAAUCGGAAUUAUCACAGCAACAACGAACCAGACCCCAGGACUGAACAUCAUCACAGAGUACAUCAUCGGGUACUUGUACCCUGGACGACCCGUCGCGAAUAUGUGCUUCAAGGUAUACGGUUAUAUCAGCAUGCACCAAGCUCUGAUGUUUCUGCAAGAUUUUAAGUUGGGCCACUACAUGAAGAUUCCCCCAAGGACCAUGUUUAUGGCUCAGGUGGUUGGAACAACGAUUGCUGCAUUCGUGUACCUUGGGACAGCAUGGUGGCUGAUGGACACAAUCCCCAAAAUCUGCGACAUUGAGCUCCUCUCAGCGGGCAGCCCUUGGACCUGUCCCGGUGAUCAUGUGUUCUACGAUGCGUCGGUCAUAUGGGGUCUUAUUGGCCCCCGC
rnacentral:rRNA from 1 species